rnacentral:rRNA from 1 species
UUAAGUUAUUAAGGGCGCACGGUGGAUGCCUUGGCACUAGAAGCCGAUGAAGGACGUUACUAACGACGAUAUGCUUUGGGGAGCUGUAAGUAAGCUUUGAUCCAGAGAUUUCCGAAUGGGGAAACCCAGCAUGAGUUAUGUCAUGUUAUCGAUAUGUGAAUACAUAGCAUAUCAGAAGGCACACCCGGAGAACUGAAACAUCUUAGUACCCGGAGGAAGAGAAAGAAAAUUCGAUUCCCUUAGUAGCGGCGAGCGAAACGGGAAGAGCCCAAACCAACAAGCUUGCUUGUUGGGGUUGUAGGACACUCUAUACGGAGUUACAAAGGACGACAUUAGACGAAUCAUCUGGAAAGAUGAAUCAAAGAAGGUAAUAAUCCUGUAGUCGAAAAUGUUGUCUCUCUUGAGUGGAUCCUGAGUACGACGGAGCACGUGAAAUUCCGUCGGAAUCUGGGAGGACCAUCUCCUAAGGCUAAAUACUCUCUAGUGACCGAUAGUGAACCAGUACCGUGAGGGAAAGGUGAAAAGCACCCCGGAAGGGGAGUGAAAUAGAACCUGAAACCGUGUGCUUACAAGUAGUCAGAGCCCGUUAAUGGGUGAUGGCGUGCCUUUUGUAGAAUGAACCGGCGAGUUACGAUUUGAUGCAAGGUUAAGCAGUAAAUGUGGAGCCGUAGCGAAAGCGAGUCUGAAUAGGGCGUUUAGUAUUUGGUCGUAGACCCGAAACCAGGUGAUCUACCCUUGGUCAGGUUGAAGUUCAGGUAACACUGAAUGGAGGACCGAACCGACUUACGUUGAAAAGUGAGCGGAUGAACUGAGGGUAGCGGAGAAAUUCCAAUCGAACCUGGAGAUAGCUGGUUCUCUCCGAAAUAGCUUUAGGGCUAGCCUCAAGUGAUGAUUAUUGGAGGUAGAGCACUGUUUGGACGAGGGGCCCCUCUCGGGUUACCGAAUUCAGACAAACUCCGAAUGCCAAUUAAUUUAACUUGGGAGUCAGAACAUGGGUGAUAAGGUCCGUGUUCGAAAGGGAAACAGCCCAGACCACCAGCUAAGGUCCCAAAAUAUAUGUUAAGUGGAAAAGGAUGUGGCGUUGCCCAGACAACUAGGAUGUUGGCUUAGAAGCAGCCAUCAUUUAAAGAGUGCGUAAUAGCUCACUAGUCGAGUGACACUGCGCCGAAAAUGUACCGGGGCUAAACAUAUUACCGAAGCUGUGGAUUGUCCUUUGGACAAUGGUAGGAGAGCGUUCUAAGGGCGUUGAAGCAUGAUCGUAAGGACAUGUGGAGCGCUUAGAAGUGAGAAUGCCGGUGUGAGUAGCGAAAGACGGGUGAGAAUCCCGUCCACCGAUUGACUAAGGUUUCCAGAGGAAGGCUCGUCCGCUCUGGGUUAGUCGGGUCCUAAGCUGAGGCCGACAGGCGUAGGCGAUGGAUAACAGGUUGAUAUUCCUGUACCACCUAUAAUCGUUUUAAUCGAUGGGGGGACGCAGUAGGAUAGGCGAAGCGUGCGAUUGGAUUGCACGUCUAAGCAGUAAGGCUGAGUAUUAGGCAAAUCCGGUACUCGUUAAGGCUGAGCUGUGAUGGGGAGAAGACAUUGUGUCUUCGAGUCGUUGAUUUCACACUGCCGAGAAAAGCCUCUAGAUAGAAAAUAGGUGCCCGUACCGCAAACCGACACAGGUAGUCAAGAUGAGAAUUCUAAGGUGAGCGAGCGAACUCUCGUUAAGGAACUCGGCAAAAUGACCCCGUAACUUCGGGAGAAGGGGUGCUCUUUAGGGUUAACGCCCAGAAGAGCCGCAGUGAAUAGGCCCAAGCGACUGUUUAUCAAAAACACAGGUCUCUGCUAAACCGUAAGGUGAUGUAUAGGGGCUGACGCCUGCCCGGUGCUGGAAGGUUAAGAGGAGUGGUUAGCUUCUGCGAAGCUACGAAUCGAAGCCCCAGUAAACGGCGGCCGUAACUAUAACGGUCCUAAGGUAGCGAAAUUCCUUGUCGGGUAAGUUCCGACCCGCACGAAAGGCGUAACGAUUUGGGCACUGUCUCAACGAGAGACUCGGUGAAAUCAUAGUACCUGUGAAGAUGCAGGUUACCCGCGACAGGACGGAAAGACCCCGUGGAGCUUUACUGUAGCCUGAUAUUGAAAUUCGGCACAGCUUGUACAGGAUAGGUAGGAGCCUUUGAAACGUGAGCGCUAGCUUACGUGGAGGCGCUGGUGGGAUACUACCCUAGCUGUGUUGGCUUUCUAACCCGCACCACUUAUCGUGGUGGGAGACAGUGUCAGGCGGGCAGUUUGACUGGGGCGGUCGCCUCCUAAAAGGUAACGGAGGCGCUCAAAGGUUCCCUCAGAAUGGUUGGAAAUCAUUCAUAGAGUGUAAAGGCAUAAGGGAGCUUGACUGCGAGACCUACAAGUCGAGCAGGGUCGAAAGACGGACUUAGUGAUCCGGUGGUUCCGCAUGGAAGGGCCAUCGCUCAACGGAUAAAAGCUACCCCGGGUAUAACAGGCUUAUCUCCCCCAAGAGUUCACAUCGACGGGGAGGUUUGGCACCUCGAUGUCGGCUCAUCGCAUCCUGGGGCUGUAGUCGGUCCCAAGGGUUGGGCUGUUCGCCCAUUAAAGCGGUACGCGAGCUGGGUUCAGAACGUCGUGAGACAGUUCGGUCCCUAUCCGUCGUGGGCGUAGGAAAUUUGAGAGGAGCUGUCCUUAGUACGAGAGGACCGGGAUGGACAUACCUCUGGUGUACCAGUUGUCGUGCCAACGGCAUAGCUGGGUAGCUAUGUGUGGACGGGAUAAGUGCUGAAAGCAUCUAAGCAUGAAGCCCCCCUCAAGAUGAGAUUUCCCAACUUCGGUUAUAAGAUCCCUCAAAGAUGAUGAGGUUAAUAGGUUCGAGGUGGAAGCAUGGUGACAUGUGGAGCUGACGAAUACUAAUCGAUCGAAGACUUAAUCAA